GACAGAGGGUGCGAACGUUGCUCGGAAUUACUGGGCGUAAAGCGCGUGUAGGCGGACCGACAAGUCAGGUGUGAAAUCCCCGGGCUCAACCCGGGAACUGCACUUGAAACUGUCGGCCUUGAGUGCCGGAGAGGGUGGCGGAAUUCCUGGUGUAGAGGUGAAAUUCGUAGAUAUCAGGAGGAACACCGGUGGCGAAGGCGGCCACCUGGACGGCUACUGACGCUGAGACGCGAAAGCGUGGGGAGCAAACAGG
rnacentral:rRNA from 1 species